GCCUUCGUGGUGUAGUGGUCAGCACGCUGGGCGCGUAUUCCAGAGGUCCGUGGUUCGAAUCCCGGCGAAGCCG
rnacentral:tRNA from 1 species